rnacentral:rRNA from 1 species
UAAGGAAUAUUGGUCAAUGGACGCAAGUCUGAACCAGCCAUGCCGCGUGAAGGAUGAAGGUCCUCUGGAUUGUAAACUUCUUUUAUCUGGGACGAAAACGGGAUUUUUAUCUCAAUUGACGGUACCAGAGGAAUAAGCACCGGCUAACUCCGUGCCAGCAGCCGCGGUAAUACGGAGGGUGCGAGCGUUAUCCGGAUUUACUGGGUUUAAAGGGUGCGUAGGUGGGCUUAUAAGUCAGUGGUGAAAUCUCCGAGCUUAACUUGGAAACUGCCGUUGAUACUAUAGGUCUUGAAUUAUCUGGAGGUAAGCGGAAUAUGUCAUGUAGCGGUGAAAUGCUUAGAUAUGACAUAGAGCACCAAUUGCGAAGGCAGCUUACUACAUAUAAAUUGACGCUGAGGCACGAAAGCGUGGG